UUGAUCCUGGCUCAGGACAAACGCUGGCGGCGUGCCUAACACAUGCAAGUCGAACGCCCUGCGCAAGCAGGGAGUGGCGGACGGGUGAGUAACACGUGGGCUACCUACCUUUCGGUGAGGAAUACCGGCGAGAAAUCGCCGACAAUACCGCAUACGCUUCUUUCACGAGAAGCAAAGUCGCAAGACGCCGAAUGAUGGGCCUGCGUCCGAUUAGCCAGUUGGUGGGGUCACGGCUCACCAAAGCGACGAUCGGUAGCUGGUCUGAGAGGACGAUCAGCCACACUGGGAUUGAGAACGGCCCAGACUCCUACGGGGGGCAGCAGUGAGGAAUCUUCGUCAAUGGGGGCAACCCUGAACGAGCAACGCCGCGUGCAGGAGGACGGUUUUCGGAUCGUAAACUGCUUUUCUCGGGGACGACACAAAGGACGGUACCCGAGGAACAAGCCCCGGCUAACUACGUGCCAGCAGCCGCGGUAAUACGUAGGGGGCGAGCGUUGUCCGGAGUUACUGGGCGUAAAGCGCGCGCAGGCGGUCCAUUAAGUCUGGAGUGACAGUUCCCAGCUUACCUGGGAAAGGUCUUCGGAAACUGGUGGACUUGAGGGACUCAGAGGGAGACGGAAUUCCAGGUGGAGCGGUGAAAUGCGUAGAGAUCUGGAGGAACACCAAAGGCGAAGGCAGUCUCCUGGGAGUUUCCUGACGCUCAGGCGCGAAAGCCAGGGGAGCGAACGGGAUUAGAUACCCCGGUAGUCCUGGCCGUAAACGAUGACCACCAGGCGUGGGAGGGAUCGACCCUUCCGUGCCGGCGCUUACGCUUUGAGUGGUCCGCCUGGGGAGUACGGUCGCAAGAUUAAAACUCAAAGGAAUUGACGGGGACCCGCACAAGCAGCGGAGCGUGUGGUUUAAUUCGAUGCAACGCGAAGAACCUUACCAAAGCUUGACAUGCACUCGCACCAGCCGUAAUGGGCUCUUCCUUCGGGACGGGUGUGCAGGUGCUGCAUGGCUGUCGUCAGCUCGUGUCGUGAGAUGUUGGGUUCAGUCCCGCAACGAGCGCAACCCCUGUCGCUAGUUGAAUGUUCUAGCGAGACCGCCGUCUCAAAACGGAGGAAGGUGGGGAUGACGUCAAGUCAGCACGGCCCUGACGCUUUGGGCGACACACACGCUACAAUGGCCGGGACAAUGGGUUGCCAACCCGCGAGGGGGAGCCAAUCCCACAAACCCGGUCUCAGUUCGGAUUGCAGGCUGCAACUCGCCUGCAUGAAGUCGGAGUUGCUAGUAACCGCAAGUCAGCACAUUGCGGUGAAUACGUUCCCGGGUCUUGUACACACCGCCCGUCACACCACGAAAGUUGACAACACCUGAAGCCGCCGGGCUAACCCCUCUUGUAAGAGAGUGGGAGGCAGGCGUCGAGGGUGGGGUCGGUGAUUGGGGUGAAGUCGUAACAAGGUAGCCGUA
rnacentral:rRNA from 1 species